rnacentral:misc_RNA from 1 species
AACGCACAUUGCGCUUCCUGGUAUUCCGGGAAGCACACUUCUUUGAGUAUCUAUAAAACCUCUCAUGUAAUUGGUCUUUACUUCUCUUCACGGAGCGGUUUUGAUCAAGAGCAUGGAAUUUGGAACUCUGUCUUCAACAAGAUGGUUUUCUCAAAAACAUUGUCAGAAGCGGGUACUUGGUUAUAGCUUGCUUCAUUGAGAAUGAAGAGUUUGAGAACGCAAGUUCUUGAUAAUUGAUUUUCAUUUGAAGUUUGAUGUAACUGUUUUACUGGUAACCGAUUGAAACUUCUGCUACACUCACAUAUUAAGGGAGCAAUCCUUUAAGAACUAGGUCUCAAAUGAAGUGGGAAAACCCGCUGAACUUAA